rnacentral:rRNA from 1 species
UACGUAGGUCCCGAGCGUUGUCCGGAUUUAUUGGGCGUAAAGCGAGCGCAGGUGGUUUAUUAAGUCUGGUGUAAAAGGCAGUGGCUCAACCAUUGUAUGCAUUGGAAACUGGUAGACUUGAGUGCAGGAGAGGAGAGUGGAAUUCCAUGUGUAGCGGUGAAAUGCGUAGAUAUAUGGAGGAACAUCGGUGGCGAAAGCGGCUCUCUGGCCUGUAACUGACACUGAGGCUCGAAAGCGUGGAGAGCAAACAGG